CAGCAAGCUACAGUGCUGGACUAAAAUUGGAGUGAUACAGAGAAGAUUAGUAUGGCCCCUGUGCAAGGAUGACACGCAAAUUCGUGAGCGUUCCAUAUUUUU
ensembl:snRNA U6 U6 spliceosomal RNA